CGACGUCGUUUGCACUUCGACACUGUUCAUCACUAUCUCUCAUCAACCCAUUGCUUUCGUGUGUUCCUCUCCCUCUCUACCCACUCCGCCGUACCAGUCGUCACCCUCUGAUUUCGUGAAUUCUCUUCCACAACCUUCUUUUUCUUCACAUCAAUCUGAAACCCUAGCACUGAUUCCGUGUUUUCGUUCCUCUUUCCACCCACUCCUCACCAAUCCAUCAAUUAUGUCUUCUCCGAUUGCACUGCUGUGCCGAUUCGGUGGCUCCAUUCAUGGUCCAACACCUCCAUGGAUCUACUGUUGCUUGCUCAUCCUUCUCUCUGUAUUGGAGAUUUCAUUACAGUUCCAAGGAGUAAAUUCUGGCUGAAUCAAAUUCAAUUUGAAGCUUAUGCCCUGGGAGAGAAGCAUGGAAUAUCAGAGCAAGGUUUAUUAUGAAGUGGGAGAUGUUUCUAAUGGUGAACUUACUAAACCAUAUGCCUUGCAACCUGUCCUCAUUGAUUCUAAGGCUUCGGUGAUCAUGGAAUUUGAGUACUUGGCAAAUUAGAUUUUGAGGGGUUCUGUAUAGCUGCAAAGGAAAGUUAAUGAAAAAGAAGAUCAUGAUUUAAAGAAAUUUUGGAGAUGGAAAUGUGAUUUCGGAUUGAUGCGAGAAUGGAAUUUGCUUCUUCCAAAGCAAAGUUUUGAAAGCUACUUCUUCUAUGCCAUGCUAGAGGUCAGAAGUUUGCUUCUUUCCAAGACUGCCUGAUGCCAAAUAUCAGGUUUUCUCCGUCAUGAUAAAACCCUCUCAAACCCUUGAGCGUAUCAGGUUUUAAGAUGCUUUUGUUUCUUUCGUGGGUUUCCAAUCUCUAUAUUUUACUACCUCUCUUCAUGAUGUAUGUUCCACAGUUUAUCUAUUUAGUUUAAUUUAUGUACAACUAUUUGCUAAUGUGUUUCACUUUUCAAGGAGAGUUCUUUGAAGCUGUUGUUUCUAAUGCACAAACUCUGUUUUCUGGAAUUCAUUUUUAGCGUACAUUUUUCUUCUGCGAUUUUGAUUCUCUUUGCACCUUUUUUCACAAGACUUAUUAGCAUACUCUUUCACUACGUGAAAUAAAAAAUCAUAUAUAAAUUAACUUGAAGGGUUGUUUUGUCCUGGAUUAUUAUGUUAAGUGUGUUUGAUUAUGCUAUGCUCUAUAAAUUUGUGUUCAUCAUUUUGUAUCUGGCUUGUGGUGUAGGAAAAAGACAUCAUUGAAUCCUCUACCAUUCUAUUAUUCAUUGACUAUUAAAAUUUUGGAUUUCAUUUUGUUUGUGGUCUUUAGCUAGGAAGUGCAGCUACUAACUCCUAAACAUGUAACUGACACCAAUAAGACCACUAAAAGCUACAUCAUAUUCUCCUACAAAAUUGAGCAAAUAUUUGUAACAUUAAUAUAUACAUUUUCAGAUUCUUAAGGUUAACAACUAUUAAACUAAUAUAUUUUAUUGAAAGCAUAUUAAAUUGAUUUAAAAAUAUUUGAGUUUUCCCUCUGUCUACAUCCUGUUCAUGAUGUCUUUUAAUGAGAUUUUUCCUCCAUAUCUUUGUGAGUAUAGCAUAGCUGAUUUUAUGCGUGGGAAAGCAUGGAAUGUAUCACUAAGUGCAGAGGAGCAUAAUUGGAAUAGAGGGCUCUUGGGCAGAUUUUGUUGAUUAUUUUGCAACUUCCAGAAGAUCUCAAGCUGGUAGAGGUGAAUUCAAACUCAUGGUGACAGAUCUUUUGGAGGUCCUUGGCUAUUGUGGGUUUUGCUUCCUCUUGAGGGCAAGUAUGUUGAUAUGCUUCACUGCCUCAACGAUGCAUUUGCAAGGAUGUGAUGACUUCUCCUAUUUACUUUCAUCAAGACUUUAAAAUUGCUUUCCUUAGAGUUUGAUGGGAGGUGUUGGUACUGUUUCUUUCCGCGAAUCCUGUGUUGGGCCGCCAUAUCAGCCGAUUUUGUGGAAGGAGUCUUCAGACUGAUUGCGAAAAUUGUUGGGCUGCUUGAGGGUGAGAAGUGGUGGUAUACAACAUGUCGUUGUCAUAAGGCUGUAACUGCAGAAGAUGGAUUGUAUUUCUAUGGUGGUUGCUCAGACUAUGUCAUGGAAGUCACUCCUCGAACCAACAUGCAGAUUUAAGAUUAAGUUUGAGGUAGGAGAUGCUGAUGGUGUCACAACAUUUGUGCUUUUUUACUCUGACUGUCAAUAGUUGCAAGGAACUGGUUGCAAGGGGAAAGGGUAAGUCCUCCUUUGAAUACCCCCCCUGUG